GUGCCAGCACCGCGGUAAUACGUAGGUGGCAAGCGUUGUCCGGAUUUAUUGGGCGUAAAGGGAGCGCAGGCGGUGACUUAAGUCUGAUGUGAAAGCCCACGGCUCAACCGUGGAGGGUCAUUGGAAACUGGGUCACUUGAGUACAGAAGAGGAAAGCGGAAUUCCAUGUGUAGCGGUGAAAUGCGUAGAUAUAUGGAGGAACACCAGUGGCGAAAGCGGCUUUCUGGUCUGAAACUGACGCUGAGGCUCGAAAGCGUGGGGAGCAAACAGGAUUAGAUACC
rnacentral:rRNA from 1 species